rnacentral:tRNA from 1 species
UGGGGAGUGGCCAAGUGGUAAGGCAGCUGAUUUUGGUUCAGCUUAUCGUGGGUUCGAAUCCUACCUCCCCAGCCA